GAUGAACGCUGGCGGCGUGCUUAACACAUGCAAGUCGAACGGAAAGGCUCCUGCUUGCAGGGGUACUCGAGUGGCGAACGGGUGAGUAACACGUGGGUGAUCUGCCCUGCACUUCGGGAUAAGCCUGGGAAACUGGGUCUAAUACCGGAUAGGACGAUGGUUUGGAUGCCAUUGUGGAAAGUUUUUUCGGUGUGGGAUGAGCUCGCGGCCUAUCAGCUUGUUGGUGGGGUAAUGGCCUACCAAGGCGUCGACGGGUAGCCGGCCUGAGAGGGUGUACGGCCAAAUUGGGAAUGAGAUACGGCCCAGACUCCUACGGGAGGGAGCAGUGGGGAAUAUUGCACAAUGGGCGGAAGCCUGAUGCAGCGACGCCGCGUGGGGGAUGACGGCCUUCGGGUUGUAAACUCCUUUCGCUAGGGACGAAGCGCAAGUGACGGUACCUGGAGAAGAAGCACCGGCUAACUACGUG
rnacentral:rRNA from 1 species